rnacentral:rRNA from 1 species
UACAGAGGUCUCAAGCGUUGUUCGGAUUCAUUGGGCGUAAAGGGUGUGUAGGUGGCGCCGUAAGUCGGGUGUGAAAUUUCGGAGCUUAACUCCGAAACUGCAUUCGAUACUGCGGUGCUUGAGGACUGGAGAGGAGACUGGAAUUCCCGGUGUAGUGGUGAAAUGCGUAGAUAUCGGGAGGAACACCAGUGGCGAAAGCGGCUACCUGGCCCAUUCUUGACGCUGAGGCGCGAAAGCUAGGGGAGCAAACGGG